rnacentral:rRNA from 1 species
AGGAAAGUAAAAAAGGGCGCAUGGCGGAUGCCUUGGCUCUCGGAGGCGAUGAAGGACGUGAUAAGCUGCGAUAAGCUUUGGGGAGGUGCAAAUGACCUUUGAUCCAGAGAUUUCCGAAUGGGACAACCCAAUAUCUUGAAGAGGUAUUAUCCAACGUUGUUGGAGGCUAACGCAGGGAACUGAAACAUCUUAGUACCUGCAGGAAAAGAAAAUAAACAAUGAUUCCCCCAGUAGUGGCGAGCGAACGGGGAACAGCCCAAACCAUCCAUGUUACGGCAUGGGUGGGGUUGUAGGACUACGCCGUUGCAUGAAGACAUCAGAGAAGAACUUUCUGGAAAGAAAGACCAUAGAGCAUGACAGUUGCGUAUUCGAAUGUUGUCGAAGCAUAGUAGUAUCCUGAGUAGCGCGGAGCACGAGGAAUUCUGCGUGAAUCUGCCGGGACCAUCCGGUAAGGCUAAAUACUCCCGAGAGACCGAUAGCGAACCAGUACCGUGAGGGAAAGGUGAAAAGCACUUCGAACAGAAGAGUGAAAUAGUUCCUGAAACCGUGCGCCUACAAGCGGUCGGAGCUCGUUAAUGAGUGACGGCGUGCCUUUUGCAUAAUGAACCUACGAGUUGCCUUUGCCGGCAAGGUUAAGUGUGACGACACACGUAUCCGAAGCGAAAGCGAGUCUGAACAGGGCGUAUAGUCGGCAGUGGCAGACGCGAAACCAAGUGAUCUACCCUUGGCCAGGUUGAAGGCUGGGUAACACCAGCUGGAGGACCGCACCAAUAAGCGUUGAAAAGCUUCUGGAUGAGCUGAGGGUAGGGGUGAAAGGCUAAUCAAACUUGGAGAUAGCUCGUACUCCCCGAAAUGCAUUUAGGUGCAGCCUUGCGGGUUACUGAUGUGAGGUAGAGCGACUGAUAAGAUGCGAGGGCUUCACCGCCUAUCAAGUCUUGACAAACUCCGAAUGCGCAUCAGUUCUACCGCAGGAGUGAGGGCAUGGGUGCUAAGGUCCGUGCCCGAGAGGAGAAGAAUCCGGACCACCUGCUAAGGUCCCGAAAUGACAGCUAAGUUAAACUAACGAAGUCUGACUGCUAAGACAGCUAGGAUGUUGGCUUGGAAGCAGCCAUUCAUUUAAAGAGUGCGUAACAGCUCACUAGUCGAGGAGUCGGGCGUGGAUAAUAAUCGGGUAUUAAGUUGUCUACCGAAGCAGUGGGAUCAUUUAUAUGAUCGGUAGGGGAGCAUUCCAGUCAGCGUCGAAGGCGUACCGUGAGGUAUUCUGGAGCGUCUGGAAAAGCAAAUGUAGGUAUAAGUAACGAUAAAGGGGGCGGGAAACCCCCUCGCCGAAAGACUAAGGUUUCCUGAUCAACGCUAAUCGGAUCAGGGUCAGUCGGGUCCUAAGGCUCAGCCGAACGGCGAUGCCGAUGGCAGAAACGGUUAAUAUUCCGUUACUACCUUCAGGAGUGACGUGGAGACGCAGUAGUGACAGUGCCGCCAUCUGACGGAAUAGAUGGUUGAAGGGUGUAGGAGUCGAUCAUGGCAGGCAAAUCCACCAUGAGAUCCGAACCUGAUAGUAUGCCGCGUCCUUCGGGACAAGGCAAUAGUGCGCGUAAGCAUGCUGCCGAGAAAAUCCGCUAAACUUAAUCCUGUAGGUACCCGUACCGCAAACGGACACACGUAGUCGGGAUGAAUAUUCUAAGGCGCUUGAGUGAUUCACGGUUAAGGAACUAGGCAAACUGACCCUGUAACUUCGGGAUAAAGGGUCCCUACCCUUUUAUGGGAGGGCGCAGAGAAUCGGUCCAGGCAACUGUUUAACAAAAACACAGGGCUGUGCCAAAUCGAAAGAUCCAGUAUACAGCCUGACACCUGCCCGGUGCUGGAAGGUUAAGAGGAGAUGUCAUCGAUAAGAGAAGCGUUGAAUUGAAGCCCCAGUAAACGGCGGCCGUAACUAUAACGGUCCUAAGGUAGCGAAAUUCCU